rnacentral:rRNA from 1 species
UACGAAGGGGGCUAGCGUUGCUCGGAAUGACUGGGCGUAAAGGGCGCGUAGGCGGCUGUGACAGUCAGAUGUGAAAUUCCUGGGCUCAACCUGGGGGCUGCAUUUGAUACGUAAUGGCUGGAGUGGGGAAGAGGGUCGUGGAAUUCCCAGUGUAGAGGUGAAAUUCGUAGAUAUCUGGAGGAACACCGGUGGCGAAGGCGGCAUCCUGGACCGGCAUUGACGCUGAGUGAGCGAAAGCCAGGGGAGCAAACGGG